rnacentral:lncRNA from 1 species
CGAUCUCCAUCCGGCGAGCAAGGGGAUCCUGGUGAGCAUCCGCAUCCUCUUUCUGAUGAUUCAUCUCUCUCUCUCUCACCGGGGAUGCUUCUGUCUUGGAAUUUGCUUGCGUAAACCCUAGCUUCUCUUGUAGAUCUGGAAGAAGCUCUUCUCUUAGUUCCAGAGCCUUUAACCUUAAUACAAGUAACAGUUUGAGUUUGUUUGUUGUUCCCCCAAAAGUUUGGGGGGUUCAACUGAACCCCCAUGUCCCAAGUUGGAUCCGCCCCCUGUUAUUUCACUCAUUUCACUAAUUUGUUUACAUACAGUGGAAUAAUGUAGCAUUUAUUUUUGUUAUGCACCGUUGUAGAUCUGAUGAGAAUUCCUAAUGCUUAAAAUUGCCUGAAUAGAUAUAACGAUUAAUUCUUGUUUUCAAGGAAGUUUCACCAUCUAUGGUGAUAAUGUCAUUCUGUUAUUACAGAGGUCAAUGUGUUGUAGAUAAUAAGUGACAUAGGUUGUAUCAUUUAUUUCUUCUAUGCUCAAGGUCCUGAACUGUUGUGCAUGUUUCAUUUGUUGCCCCCCGAGUCAUAUUAUUUGGCGCGGGAUACUUCAGUACUUUGGAUCAAAUAAUCGUGAUGGGAAGGAGUACAUAGCCAAAUGCUCUUUUCCCAUUGUAAUGCACGGGCAACUAACUAGGGUAUGGACAUUAUCUCAUGUUUGUGGUCAUGAUCAAAUCGCUCAUAAAACAUGUGCAUCUUAGAUUAUAGGCAGAAAUGUAUUCCAAUAAUGUUAUUUGGAGUGAAAUUCAUCCCUCAACAGAAAAAAAUUCUGCUAAAUACUCUAUUAACCUUUUCUGUGUGAUACUCAUGGGUAUGUAUGCAUUGAUUGCUAAACAUUUUCACAUGUGCAUUUGACAGCUCAGGUGGCAGCAAACAGGAAGCUUUCUCCAUUAGAAGGAAUCAAACCGAUCGAGAAGGAUCAAACCAAGAAGAGAAAGGAUCCUACAUAGUAUCUUGAUACUGGUUACCUUGGCUAAGAGGACCGAUCGUACUAUUGGAGAGGAGGGGCUAAGUCGUCUCCACAACAGUGAACUGUCUCCGAGCCAAAACAGAACGAACGCCCAAACAGGCAAACCACGAACUCGAACCCUAGAAACCCUGACCAUGGACUCGGGAGGCGGAGGAGGGGCAUCGCACAAGGCAGCGUCGGGCUCUGCACCCUCGGGGGCGGCGGCCGCGAACCCCACGGCGAUGCUCUCCGCCCUGAUGAGCAAGCGCGCCAAGCUCCAGGAGGAGCUCCGCUCCAUAGAGCGCCAGGUUAGGUCUUACACACUGUUCCCUGUCUCUUUUGCGCCUCUCUCUCUCUCUCUCUUGGAAUUAGGGUUUUGUAUAGGAGACCAUGGAUUUGUUGCAUAUAUGUUCAGAUGGCAAGGGCUUGCCAUUGCUCAACAUGCGAAUGAGUGGUGCGAAUUUACAUUGCUGCGGAUGGUUGUAAAAUUGGAGUUGUGGAUACCUGUAGUAGCCUGAAUUUAUUGUUCAAUCUUUCUUAAUGCCUUGGGAAUGAUAGAAAUAUGAACCUAUUUGGAACCAAUAUGCUGGACCAGUGACCACUGAUUGUCAUUUCACAGAGAGGAUCAGUUGUGACGAACAAUUUGGAUAGAAUUAGGAGGAAGGGAAGAAAGUAUCAAUUUGAUAUUCUUGUCGAAUAUGACCAUUCUAUUUCUUGUAUGUUGUUCUUUGUGCCUGAGAACACUUUGUUAUUCUAAGGUAAAAAAGAAAAUCAGUUAGCUACAACCUGAAAAUUCCAUCUGUUCUUCUAUCCUCGAGUUAAAAUGUGGAGUUUCUACUGUGUCUUAGUCAGAAAUUAUUCGCAGCAAGUAUCAAAUGAGCUACUUCUAUUCAUAGUAUUUCAAAGUUACACUAUGUGGUCCAAAUUCCAAUAUAUGUUUGUGAUGGUGAAUCUUGGUGUGUCAUCCAAAAUCAUUAAAUAAGAGGAGCGUUUGGUUUAGUAGAAACCAUAAUCCUAAAAAGGGAGGAAAGUGCUAUUGCUCUCAUAUCAAGUAUUUUAAUGGCACUGAUAUGUGUGUUUUUUUUAGAAAGAACAAAACAGUCGCUCUUUAAUACCAGGAACAACACAUGAUCUAUAAUGUCAACCAUCUUUGCUUGACUUUAAGGGGAAGUUUUGUAUAUGAUAUUAAACACUCAUAAUUUAACAAAAUAUCUAUUCAUGCUUUUAACAGAAUUGUUCUUAUACAACCUGCAAAUGAUGUUUAUGUCCAUAUGUUGCAGGUUUAUGAAAUGGAGACAACCUACCUACAAGAGUCUAAUCAAUUCGGAAGUGUGCUAAAGGGUUUUGAAUCAUUCUUAUCAUCGUCAAAGAACACUUCCAAGUAAGAAAUCUUUAUUUUCUUAGACUGCUACGCCCUUUACUAUUUGGAGGUCUUCAUUCAUUUUCUUUUGACAUCCCACUGUAUACUUACCAGUUCGAAACCUUCAGAAUUCAUGCCACAUUCUUUGCUUACUUUCAACUGUUGAUUGAAUGACCUACUGUCCUUCCCUUGAACUUUCUACCAGCCUCUGAUCACAUAUAAUUUAGCUAAUAUUCGGAUGAAUAAUUUAUAGUUAUAGAUAUUGAACAAAAGAUCCUCUGAUCACAUAUAAUUUACUAAUGAUCAGAUGAAUGAUGUUGAACAAAAGAUCCUCUGAUCACAUAUAAUUUACUAAUGAUCAGAUGAACAAAAGAUCCUCUGAUCACUAUAGUGGCAGUGGCAGGUAUUAUACAACAGAUUCAUAACCCAAAAUAUGCUAUGAUAGUGUUAUGUCAGUUUAUUGGCCAAUUGCAGGGGUGCUCUAUAUGCACUAUCUAGCAUCACCAAGGGAGGGUUGGAUUUAUGAUUACCAUUGGCAUAAUGUUGCGUGUUCAUUAUUCUGCACAAGCAAAUGUUUUAUCAUUUCUGUUCUGCUAAUAGAUCACACAGAAUUAGUUAUGACAGUUUCUAUCUUAUUAUUUUCAGUCUCAAGCGCUCCAGGAAGUUCCAGGCUGAUGAGAGGCUGUUCUCCCUGUCAUCGGUUACAUCUCCAGCGGUAUGACUAAUGAUCCUAAAUCCUAAUGCACUGAAAAGCCCGUGCCCCUUUUUUAAUCUUUUGGUUUGCUUUGAUUGAUGAUUGUUAUUCCCCCUGUGCUAUACUGAUAUUUGUGAGUUUGCUAAUACAUACCAUUAUUUUCUAUUCAUUCCAGGUCGAUGAACAUAUGGCUGGACGAGAUGGUAAGUUCUCUUUCUUGUUUUCAUUAAGCUGAAACCAGGAACAAUUGAGACUCUGGGCUCAAUACUAGCUGCAUCCUGGCAGAUGGAAGAGAAUAUGGAUCAGGUCGUUCGAAAGGUGCAACCACUCCUGCAAACGGGCAGUAAGUGCUCAGAUUACCUUUGUGGCAAAAAAUGUGCUAUCCUUAUCAGCUUUACAUACAUCCUUGCAAGGGGCAGUGUUUGUCUAACACUUCUUUAUAUUAAAAAAAACAGUGUUUCUAGGAACAACCCUUUUAGCCCUUGUUUAGUUCCAAACUUUUUCUUCAAACUUCCAACUUUUCCAUCACAUCAAAACUUUCCUACACGCACAAACUUCCAACUUUUCCGUCACAUUGUUCCAAUUUCAACCAAACUUCCAAUUUUAGCGUGAACUAAACACACCCUUAGUAGAAUUGCCUAGUUCUGACCCCUCGUGUGUUUGGACAGAGGAAAACCAAAGAAGGGAGGUCGCCCUGGAGGGAGAGACGGCAAGAGAAUACGGCCAUCAAAUGAUCCAGAUCUGGACGACGAAGAGGACUUCUAACUCGACAUGUUGUAGGCCUAGCUCAGUGAUGAUUUAACCUUGCUAGACUCAUGCUUCGAAUCAUUCUUUCUGUAUUGUAAUUUUUUUUUAAUCUUGUGUUGCAAUCCAUGGCAAGCAAAGCCUUUUCCCCAGGGAGUAGCCUUGCUCAUCUAGUCAUCUUAUCGUCGGCAUUUGCCUGUGCUUGCAUUUUCUUCCUUUUCAACCCACCCCGGCGUUGUCUGAUUGUCUCCCGUUUUGUAAAGCAGUAGCAAGUUAAUUAGACGGUGAUAAUUUCUGUUAACUCUACUGUAAACAACGUUGCUAUAGAUUCCAGACUCCAGUGAGACGAGGAUGAGACUCCAGCGAGACGAGAAUCUGGAUUGGCCGAUUCUUAGUACCAGAAAAAAAUGUCUCAUCCGAUUAUAGGUUUUUAUAUUUUGGAACGUGUAGUUGCUAGCACACCGCCGCGUUUGCCAGGGCCAAGGUGGAGUUGAAUCUGUGAGUUCACCUGUUGCAUUGCAAGACAAGCUGGAACUUGUAAUCUCAACAAUUAGAUUGCAGGGUGCCUGAGGUUAAUUUGUGUACACUUUUUUUUAGUGUAGCUAGCAAAGACUACAAGUAAUGCUUUUUAUAUUAGUAUAGGUGAUUAAUUAGCUCUAAGUACAAUAUGAUGAUGCAACACGCAGGCAUGCAUGUCUAAACAGCUGUGCUUAGCUUCAAGUAUGGAAAUAGCUUGAGCAUCACUUCUUCAACAGGUUGCAUUGACAAAUACUCCCUCCGUCCCAAAAUAAGUGCAGUUUUGCACUAUUUAUCUUCAAUGUUUGAUUAUGUUUGAUUUUUCGUCUUAUUUAAAAAAAAUUAUGAUUACUAUUUUUAUUGUUAUUAGAUGAUAAAACAUGAAUAGUACUUUAUGUGUGACUACUUUUAAAAAAUAAUUCAUAAAUUUUUCAAAUAAAACGGACGGUCAAACAUUGGACACUUUAGGAUGGACGUAGUAUUUUUCAUUUUCAGAAUCUUAAAUGCAUUUGUCCAUGAAAACAUCUUUCGUGGAAAAGAUGUCAGAAGCUUUUAUCUAAGAAUCUCGCUGAAUCAUCAUGUUUAAGUCGAUCACAUCAGCUGCAUAUAUCUGUCAACAGAAGAACAGAACAGGUUGAAAAAAAAAAAGCUGAAGUUGAUACUACCUCCGUUUCUAAAUAUUUGACACCGUUAACGUUUUAGCAUAUGUUUGACCGUUCGUCUUAUUCAAAAACUUUUAUGAAAUAUUUAAAACUAUAUAUAUACAUAUAAGUAUAUUUAACAAUGAAUGAAAAAAACUAAUAAUUACUUAAAUUUUUUGAAUAAGACGAACGGUCAAACAUAUUUAAAAAAGUCAACAGCGUCAAAUAUUUAGAAUCGGAGAGAGUAUUUUUUACUAGAAACAUCAAGAACACUAGUAGCACUUAUUCAGAAUGAGCACUGUUGAAAAUGUGGUGCUCUUAUUGAGAAUUUCACAAGAGCAACACGAACAGAGACUCUAUCAUACAUCAACCUAGGAGACGCCCAGGUUGGCAGCUAAUAUCAAACAAGAUGUUUAAAGCUUUGCUGCAGGACUCCGAUGUACAAAGUACUGAAAACCAUGGAUCAUCUAGGUACAGGGAAAAGAAGAUAGAAGAAAGCACAUCAGUACCAUAAAAGUUACCACACACAGCAGAAGCAUCGAUCUAUCUACACUCAGCCAAACCACCUGAAAGAACAGGGGGGGCAAGCAGCAUGCCUUGCAUCAAGCUUAUCUGAACGGUCUACGGCACAACCUGGCAUAGGUGCCUCUGGAGGAAGAAUUCAGUCAGCAACUGUAACUAAUCCUUGGUUUAUUUUUCUAGUUCAGCAUGUUGAGUCGCGAAAGAAUUCGGUCGGUAUUGAGGGUGGGCAGGGCUUCUUCGCCACAAAUUUGUACUGCAGAAACAAAGGUACAGGAGGCAGCAUUAGGAACAGUACAGAUAACUGAAGAAAUGGGGAGGAUAUGCAGUUUAUACCUUAUGUUGGGUAUACUUCUCCCUGAUUGCAGGAAGGUUACUCCCAGGACCAACACAGAAAAGGCGGUGCAAUGCCUUAACGCAGUCGCUUAACUCUGACGACUUGUAUUGUGUGUAGUGAGCAAGGGUGGAAUUCUGCUUCCAAUUUACAAUGAGAAGCAUAUGUUAGCUCUUGUAAUUUUUUUAUUUGAAUGUUGAUAUAAAAGAUGUAUGGAAAGUUCAAUAUGAUGAUGCCACCACGUACCCAAGGGUGCUUUGCUGGCUGCAGUAUGAAUUUGGCCAGGAAAAUAGCUGAUGCCGCUACUAGUGAAGGAGGGUAAGAAAGUAGAUUGUACUCCAGCAGUGAUAGCUCAGCAACAUAAUUGGCUAGGAACUCAAGAUGCAAUGCUGGAUCCUGCACGAUGAAAAGCUGUUAAUGCAAUGCAGCAUAUAAAUAGUAUGAAAUUGCAGCAAGCAGGAGAUGAUUAAGAGAGCAGCACCUCAUCAGAUACUUGUGCAACACGGACAAAUCUCCUGUUGUAGGCAAGAAGAUAGUUAUUAGAGUUCGAUUCAUUCCAGCAUUAUAGACAUCGAUGAGAUGAAAGAGAAUAGAACCUCAAAAAGCAUUUUGCUGUAGGUGCAGUCAUUUCAAACUUCAGGUAAUUCAGGACAGAAGCUUCCAUUUCCAAAACCUGACAAUCUAUGUGUUAGUCAUGGAGAUAAACAUAGAAAUGUUCACAGAUAUGCAAAACAAACCUCAUCUCUGAAGUAUGUGUUGUCAGUUAUAUAGCAGAAUUCUUCUACUUGAGGUGCACAUAUCUCCUUGUAUUUUCUGAUAUAGGAACAAGCCAAAAUCAGUACACAAAACUCAGAUGCAAACUGAGAAACACAUUUAAAAAAAUUGCUAAUCAGAUCUUACGCAGCAAUAAGCAUACAAGCAACUCCAAGUAAUUGCAGUCUUUGACGAUUGAUCUCAUUGCCAGAAAGAUAACGGUCAAUGUAGUUAACUGUCAGGUAUAAUGUAUCAGGAACAAGACGAUAUUCUUCAGCGACCUGCACAAAGGAAAAGCACAAAUAGAGUGGUAAGUAACGAUUGUGGUCUUUAGGCUCCAAUCAACUAAAAAAAUUUGUUCGGUAUAAAAGCUUACUUCCACAAGCCAGUCUAUCAGGAUCGCUCUCAUGCUUGGGUUUACAUCCUUUUGGAGUGUUUCCAUAAAAUCGGUUGAUGGAUGUUUCCUGGUCUGCUUCAAGUCAAAUAGAAAAUCACAAUGUAAAUAUGAAAUUCAACCUAGAUUUGAAACCACUGUGCUCAGGUCAGAUUAAUUGUCAUUUGAUCAAACUGACUGCAGUAGUGCAGUCCAUGUCACAGCAAAAAUAAUGAGCAAUUGAAAAAUACUUCAAGAGCAUUGAUUACAACAAUUGAAAUGUAUCAAUUCAUCGGUUCAGUCAAUGCUUUAAGAAGAUAACUCCAUUACAAUUUCUCCAUAUUAUACUGUGCUUCUACUGGUUCUAUAGGGAAUUUCAAUAUGAUGGCCAUUAAAUGGAACCCACUAUUCAGAAAAAAAAAAGUAUUCAAGAAUGUUUUAUGUAAGGUGUUUACAUAAUAUGCAGAACAAAACUACUGAAAAUUGAUGGUCACAAAGCAUGUCUGGUAGAUGAUAAGGUGCACCAACAAAGCGAAAAGCAGAAAAGAACGGAUUGUGGUGAAAUGUGAAAAAUAUCCUGAUAAAUUACAUUGGAAUAAUGCCUUAUAUCAGUGAUGUGCACUUAUUCUCUUCUUAAUUUAUGGUCUCAUCAAAGUAAACUUUUUUUACUUGUGUUUCAUAUGGAUGCAAUCAAGUCUCAAAUCAUGAGGAAGCAAAACAAAGCCUUCCUAUGAAAACAUACUACAAUAAGGUGCUCAAGGGAAAUGUUUUCAGAGAAAUAAGGUUUAGUCAAGAAUGUAUUACCUCGGCCUCGCGCAAGUGCAUGUAGAUAUCAGAAGCAAGAGUAGCACACAACUGCGGAUCCUCGUAGUUAUUGUCAACAUCACAAAUUUGGUCGAUUUCCAUUGGGGAAGGAGCAUCCUUCUUCCACUUAGUUUCUGCGAAACAAACAAGGGAAAAGAUCAAUCAACCAUUCCAAUAGAAUGCACCAUAUAGCACAAAUUUUUCUAGCUAUAACUGUGCAUUUCAGCAACCAAAACACACCUUCAACAUCUCUAUCCUCUGAGAUACGCAGGUUCUCGUUUGCUCUUCGCUGCAAGGAACCUAGAACUGAGGAGGAAUCCCCAUUAUCAAUAUACUCAAAGUCUGGGCUUUUCAUUGAGUCGCACGUCGACAUCGUCUCAUCAACCGAAACUGAGGCCCUGUUUAGAUGGGACUAAAACUUUUAAGUCCCUAUCACAUCGGAUGUUUGAAAAUUAAUUAUAAAUAUUAAACGUAGACUAUUAAUAAAACCCAUCCAUAAUCUUGGACUAAUUUGCGAGACGAAUCUAAUGAGCCUAAUUAAUCCAUGAUUAGCCUAUGUGAUGCUACAGUAAACAUUCUCUAAUUAUAGAUUAAUUAGGCUUAAAAAAUUUGUCUCGUGAAUUAGCUUUUAUUUAUGUAAUUAGUUUUGUAAGUAGUCUAUAUUUAAUACUCUAAAUUAGUGUCUAAAGACAGGGACUUAAGUUAAGUCCCUGGAAGUAAACACCACCUGAAUCUCCUGAAUGCAUAGGGGAGACGAAGCUGCUGCAGGGUACAGUGACAGGUGCAGGUGCAGCAGUUGGAACAAUUCUAAGCACUUUAGGAGGAAGAACUGACUCCUUCUGUGGGGCGCUCUCAUGGCGGGAUAUGGCCGAAGCUGGCUUGGUGGAAGCUGAUUUCACCGCCGAGACCCGAUUCGUGCCCACAUUGCGGCCACUGGCCAAAGAUCCCUUCUUCACAGGUGCAGCCCAGGUAGCUGAAUUAAAUUUCUGCAGGAGGAUUGAAGACAAGAAAUCAAUUUAGAACUUAUAUUUCAAUCUGUUCAUUUGGGAUUCCAGACCACAAGCAUGAAAAGGAACAAAUAUUUAUUAGAAACAUUAGCAGCACGCAAGUAUCAUAUUACCAAUAGAAGAUUCCAAAGCAAGCAAACAUACAAAACACUUAGCGAAUACCAAGAAAGCUUUUAUUUUGAACUUCUGAAGGUGCCAAUAAACCCUCAAGUGAAUUUAGCCUGUUGACCUGGAUGCUCCCCAAGAAAUCAAUCAAUCAAUUAACCAUGAAAAGAAACCAGAAAAUCAGCAAGAAAAAUCUUGUGGAUUGGAAUAGGAGAAUCCUCAAAAUCAGCAAGGAAGAAUGUGGCAGAGGUCCAAAUUUGAAUGUGAAGAGCACUGAAAAACCAAAAGGCAAGAAUAUAUUGGGGAUUGGAAGAGGAGAAUCGUUUGUAGGCUAACCAAGGAGAAAUUGAAGAAAUGAAAAUCUUGUUGUUGGCUGAAAGAAAGAACUCAAGAAGACGAAUUCAAGAAACACUAUUUAUAUUUGCUUGAAACCAACAGAUCGAGGCGUAUGUCCUCCACAAACAAGAUGGAAAAAAACCAAAAAAGAAAAAAAUCAUACACAGAUCGCUUCGGCCAUUUCCGCAUCAACAGCGACUCACUUGUGCCCCAAGAGGAACCAAGAAGCAAAAAAAAAAAAAAAAAAAGCCACCCCCAAACCAUUCCAACCACCUCACACACCAAAAGAUCUCCACCCAAACCGCGCAAAGCAAAGAACAAAUCUUGGAGAGAAAAAAAAAGGAAAAAAGAAGAAGAAGAAGCAGCAGCAAGCGAUCCUUCACGUACCGCAUUGUUGGCGGCGGCGGCAACGUUGGUGAUGUUACCGAGCGCGACGCGCUUCUUGGCCGCCGCGGCGCCCGCGGCCGCCUUCCCUCCUCCCUCCCCCGCCGCGGGCCGCUUCGCCGCCGACGACGACGACGAGCGGCGGGAGGCUAGGCUGCUCGACAUCGGCCGACGGCAACCACCACCUGAACCCUCCUCCUCCUGCUGCUGCUGCGAGGGUUGCGAGGGCGGCGGCGGCCGGCGGGGAUCAGAGGCGGAGCAGGGCGAGGGCUUGGAUCCUUCCCUUCCCGACAGAGGAGGGGAGAGCCGGAGAGGAGAGGACUCAGAGGAGCGGAGGAGGAGAAGAGAGAAAAUGGCGACGACUCUUUCGAUUAUUUCCAGUUUUUGGGGAAACUAUUCUAAUCCCUCGAGGAUGUUCCCUCGUUUGCUCAAAAACCAUCUAAACGGUUAUGAAAAAUACUGAAAAAAUUUGACAACAUUCAUACAACACAUAUAUACAACUCUACAAAAUCUUAAUUCCAAACUCAACUCACACGUCGAGAUAUAAAAAGACAAAUUCAGCGUAUGAAUAGUAGCGUACUGUUUAUAUCUAAAUUUGUCUUCUUUUGUUUCUCGAUGUGUAGAUCGAAUUUGAACAUGAAUUUUGGUGGACUAGUAGGUAUCAUUAUACUCUACAUUGUUAAUUUUUUUCAGAAUUUUUCAUAACUAUUUGUAUCGAAUUUGGAAGAAAAAGGUAUACGAGGGGAUAUCCCUCGAGGGAUUAGAAUCCACUCCCCAGUUUUUGGGCCGUUACAGUUGUUCAAAUUUCAAAUAGUAGUAGCAACUUGUUUUAGUUAUUCGACCGUUUUAUCUGUCUUUCUUUUUUUCAUGUCGUCGUGGUUGGGUUAUUACGUUUUCGACCGUUAUUCAUAAACAGAACGGAUGUAGAGCUAAAUUAAUUUCGUGUUACUACUUCUGUCAUAGAAGAUGACGGAUUUUAACUUUGUAUUCCCUCCGUACUAAAAUAUAAAAAAUAUAAGUAUUUUUUAAGUAUAGUGUCAAGUCCUUUGAUUAUUAAUAAGAAAAAAUAAAUUAAAAAAGAUCAAUCUAAAAAAAAUGAUAUUACUAGAUUUAGCAUUAAACAAACUAUCACAGUAUGUAACUCUUUUUAUUUAAAAUAUUUUACUUUUAUGAAUAUCGUUUAUCAAUGUAGCAUCUUUAAAACCGUGUCGAAGUCAAAAACAAAAAAAAAAGGCUUAUAUUUUGAUAUGGAGGAAGUAUUCUUUAUCGUAUUUUCCUACUUAUCUAUCUCAUUUUUCACAUGUGUGCUUUUCAAACGGUUAAACGGUGCGUUUUUUUUUAAAACGUAUGUAUGUAUGAAAGUUAUUUGAAUAAUCAUGUUAACUCAUUUUUAAGAAAUAACUAAUACUUAAUUAAUUAUGCAUUAAUGAACCGUUUCGUUUUACGUGCUCAAAGGGUUAGUUUCUAACACUAAUAAUCGAACACGGCCUUUGCCGCUUAGAGGAAUUUUAAUAGUAUAUAGCCAACUACUAGCUCCAAAUUAUUUAUAGAUAAUCUAAUAGCCAAAUUAUACAAUAGUUAACUACAAAUAUAUAGUACAUCAUUAAUUACUGCUCCCACUUGUCAUACACACGUAGCAUUUAGGAGUCCGUGCUACAGCUAGCUACAAAUCUGCAGCCUGCUUCUUUUCUAUCUCCUCUCUUUAUGUUCACCACAUAAGCUUGUAGCCGACUUAUAGUCUAUUAUUGUACAUGCUAUUAGAUUUUUAUAUUUGAACUUGGAAUGUAGUAUCCAAAAUAACUUUGGGGGUGUUUAGAUCCAGGAGUGUAAAGUUUUUGCGUUUCACAUCGGGUAUUAUAUAGGGUGUCGCAUGGGGUGUUCGGGCACUAAUAAAAAAACUAAUUGUAGUAUCCGUCAGUAAACCGCGAGACUAAUUUAUUAAACCUAAUUAAUCCGUCAUUAACAGAUGUUUAUUAUAGCACCACAUUGUCAAAAUCAUGGAGCAAUUAGGCUUAAAAGAUUCGUCUCGCAAAUUAGUCGCAAUCUGUGUAAUUAGUUAUUUUUUUAGCUUAUAUUUAAUACUUCAAACGUUCGAUGUGAUAGGGUGUAACAUUUUUGUGCAGGAAACAUGACCUUUGUUUUUAAGACCAGAUGGAGCACUUUGAUAGGCCGUUUGGGAGUUUGGAACUUGUGCAAAACGGUGUGUUUUAAAAAUUAAAACCAUUGCUCUCGUACAUACCAGAUAUUUAUAACUAACGGUCGAGAAGUUCAAAAUGUGUCCAAAGGUUGAGAAGUUUAAAAUGUAUCCAAAUCAACAUAUUUUCAAUAUUUGAGGGAGUAACGUGAUAUAAGACCAUAUAUUUAUAACUAAUGGCCGAUAAGUUUAAAAUGUGUCUAACGGUCGAAAAGUUUAAAACAGGUCCGAAGUCCGAACCUCGUGUUUCAGGAUAUCUACAACGAAUGCUUGGGUCGGGACGUAAGGUUAAACCUCUCUUAGUUGUGCCAAAGGAAAUUAUGGAAAUUUUUAACACGGCUAUAAUAGCACAAUAUUGACAAUGAAAAAUACCCAUAUAAACACAAUUUUGCCUAAUUGUGUUACCUACUAUAGAAAACUUGCGACUGUAGUUUCACACGAAUAACGUUCUCUUGCAGGUGGGUGGGCCACCGGUCCAUGCAACAGUAGCCGUGCCGGCCCGACACGGCCCAACACUUCCUUGGGCCGUUCUGCCCAAGACCUGGCACGGCACGGCCCGGCCCAUUACAGUUGCCGUGCCAUCAGCGGGUCCGAGCUAUGCUGGGCCGGGCCGCCCAUUUGGCCUGCUACUCAUAAUGGGUAACAUAGUAAAUCUGAGCUAAAGGUGGAGUACUCGAGUAUCUCUUCCCCCUUCCCUUCGCGUAAAAGAGAAAAAAAAUCUCCCGUCUCGUCGUCUCAUCCGCUUCUUGCGCCAUUCGCGGCUGAACAGGGGAGGGGAGGGGGAGGGUCGCCGAUCUCCAUCCGGCGAGCAAGGGGAUCCUGGUGAGCAUCCGCAUCCUCUUUCUGAUGAUUCAUCUCUCUCUCUCUCUCUCUCACCGGGGAUGCUUCUGUCUUGGAAUUUGCUUGCCUAAACCCUAGCUUCUCUUGUAGAUCUGGAGGAAGCUCUUCUCUUAGUUCCAGAGCCUUUAACCUUAAUAAAAGUAACAGUUUGAGUUUGUUUGUUGUUCCCCCAAAAGUUUGGGGGGGUUCAACUGAACCCCCAUGUCCCAAGUUGGAUCUGCCCCCUGUUAUUUCACUCAUUUCACUAAUUUGUUUACAUACAGUGGAAUAAUGUAGCAUUUAUUUUUGUUAUGCACCGUUGUAGAUCUGAUGAGAAUUCGUAAUGCUUAAAAUUGCCUGAAUAGAUAUAACGAUUAAUUCUUGUUUUCAAGGAAGUUUCACCAUCUAUGGUGAUAAUGUCAUUCUGUUAUUACAGAGGUCAAUGUGUUGUAGAUAAUAAGUGACAUAGGUUGUAUCAUUUAUUUCUUCUAUGCUCAAGGUCCUGAACUGUUGUGCAUGUUUCAUUUGUUGCCCCCCGAGUCAUAUUAUUUGGCGCGGGAUACUUCAGUACUUUGGAUCAAAUAAUCGUGAUGGGAAGGAGUAC